UACGUAGGUGGCAAGCGUUGUCCGGAAUUAUUGGGCGUAAAGCGCGCGCAGGCGGCUUAUUAAGUCAGGGGUGAAAGACGGUGGCUCAACCAUCGCAGUGCCUUUGAUACUGAUGAGCUUGAAUACACUUGAGGUAGGCGGAAUGUGACAAGUAGCGGUGAAAUGCAUAGAUAUGUCACAGAACACCAAUUGCGAAGGCAGCUUACUAAGGUGCAAUUGACGCUGAGGCACGAAAGCGUGGGGAUCAAACAGG
rnacentral:rRNA from 1 species